CCUACGGGAGGCUGCAGUGAGGAAUAUUGGUCAAUGGACGAGAGUCUGAACCAGCCAAGUAGCGUGAAGGAUGACUGCCCUAUGGGUUGUAAACUUCUUUUAUAUGGGAAUAAAAUGUUCCACGUGUGGGAUUUUGUAUGUACCAUAUGAAUAAGGAUAGGCUAAAUCCGUGCCAGCAGCCGCGGUAAUACGGAGGAUCCGAGCGUUAUCCGGAUUUAUUGGGUUUAAAGGGAUCGUAGGUGGAUUGUUAAGUCAGUUGUGAAAGUUUGCGGCUCAACCGUAAAAUUGCAGUUGAAACUGGCAGUCUUGAGUACAGUAGAGGUGGGCGGAAUUCGUGGUGUAGCGGUGAAAUGCUUAGAUAUCACGAAGAACUCCGAUUGCGAAGGCAGUUCACUGGACUGCAACUGACACUGAGGCUCGAAAGUGUGGGUAUCAAACAGGAUUAGAUACCCCUGUAGUC
rnacentral:rRNA from 1 species